AUGAUCCCUUUGAUUGUGAUUGCCGAGGUUGCUUCGAGCCUUGAGAAUUUUUCAAGCCUCAAGGAUCUUGCUUCUGCAGCUCUUGCUUCACCUAAUGUGUCCACAGAGGAGGAAGCUGUGAACACCAUCAACGAUUUUUUAUCUGAGUUGGGUUUAUCAGAAACCCCUGCUGCUGUUGAGGAGGGGGCUCCGUCAGUCAAAGGUUGUGAUUCUCCCAAGGAUGUGCCUCUUCAGCUUCUCCUAGAGAACCAACAUAAGUGGAAGAAGCAAGAAGAUUUUGACAAGAAGAAGGUGGCCCGCCUUGAGAAAGGUUCUGAUGUUCCUGGAUCUGUUCAUGCAGCUGAGCUCACUGUUGAGGAAGACGUGCCGUGUGGCAGUGAUGGCACGGUUGUCCCUCUUAAGAAGAAAAUCAAGAAGACCGCCGCGAGGAAGUUAGUAGUUGGUGAAGUUACUCCUCGGAGGAGCCCAUGUGUUUCAAGGCCUGCAGAAGUUGUUGAAGAUGAAUGGCUAGGCCUUGGUGGUACGCCACACCGUAGUCCUUGUGUGCUUGCCACUGCCGCUCCGACACCUUCUCCGCUUGGUGCUGGUGCAUCUAGCAAGGGGAAGAAAUGUGGCGUGAAGCGCAAGGUUCCACCUGCAAAGGUCAACAAGGGUGUGAAGAAGCGUUCUCGUGUUAAUCUAGAGGACAAGGAUGAUGCUGAUUUCAAUGCUGAUGAUGAGGACGACGACGAUGAUGCUGCUGCCGCUAAUCAGUGUCAGCUUGUGGAGUGGCCUGAGAGGAGGAAGAGAGGAGGCAAAGCGCCCGAAGAAGGUGGUCAGGGAGGAGGUGAGGCGAAACGUUUUAAUAAGACGGUUCGCUGCUCACUAGGAGAGGUCAAGAUGUGUGCGAAAAUGCUACCAGGUAGGCACAAGACGAGGGUUAUCAAGGCUGGUUUUGGUUGUGUGUUUGACUUGAAGGUUGAUUCCAACAUUUCUCGUCCUUUGAUGGGCAACUUCUACACGAGGAUUGACCCUUCAACCAUGAUUUUGGACAUGGGUGAGGCGAACAAGGGCAAGCUUGGGUAUGCUAGGAGUGACGACAUCAAGACAAAGGAUUUGCGGAAUAUCCUUGCUGAACUUGUGAAGGAUGAGACGAAGGAUGAUCUUGCUCUACAGGUGUUUUACCUUAUUGUUUUCAUGAAGGUGGUUAUCCCUGGAAUGUCUACACGAGUGUCCAGGGAGGCAGCAAUGGCCGAGAACCUUGUGUUUGAGGAUAUGGCAAACAUGGACUACUGCCAGUUGGUUGUUGACGAUAUUCGGAGUGCUGUUGUUAGGUAUCAGCAAGGUACUAGCAGAGGAAAAGCUAUCACAGGAUGUGCCAUCGCGCCGCUUCUUAUCUAUGUGGACUGCCUUAUCAUUGGCAAGACGCCUAAUAUUGACUUGAGGACCCCUCGCAUCAAUUUCAUGGAUCAUGCCAAGCUUCUCGAGCUUGCUGCGGCUGACUUGGUCACGAAGGGUGAUGAUGACCUAGCCAACUGGGUGUUUGGGAGACUGCCUUGGAAGACACAGGCUGUGGUUGUGUUCUUUAGGGUUAUUGAACGUCCUGUUCUAACUAUGCCUUGUUCUGCUGGCCUAGGGAGUGGAACUUCCCCAAGAUUUGAAUUCUCCCGGGAUGGUAAUACCGGUGCCCCACCUGCAGAUACAGGAGGUUCUUCUGCCCGUGUGAGUGCUGCAGGUGGCGUUUCUUCCGAGAAUUUGUUUGAAGCUGCCAAUGUUUCUCUGGCUAUUAAUGAUAAUGCUAGGGUUGAGGAGGAUGUUUUACCUAUGCAUGAACCUGCUCCUGCUAGUGGCGUAAUAGUCGAUGAGGUUCAUGCUAGUGAAAAUAAGCAGCAGAAUGAUGAUGUUAAUGUUCCUCUAGAGAAGGUUGCAGACAAGUCCGUCUCAGGCACCGGCUGCUCCGACGGGGUGGUCCUAACUGAACCUCAGUCAUCCAUUGGCGCCGAGGUUUCUGAUGCUGAGCAGGGCAAGACAACUGGAGUCAUCAUUUUGGAGAAAGAUCCUGUUGAGUCUGCUGUUGAAACUGGUGGUAGUGCUGCUGCAAGCCCGGAGAAGUCGCCUGCAGCAGAGCCAUCAGUUGAUGUUGAUGUUGUACAUGCACAACCAAAAGUUUUUCUUGUUUCAGAUUCUCUAGUUGCUCCAGCUGUUGCUAGUGUCCUUCCCGACGACGCUGCAACGUCUACUGGAGACGACGAUGAAGAUACCAAAAACGAUAGCUAUGGAGAGGAGGUUGAUCAUUCUAGUGCUUCCACUAAUAGCGACCUUGCUGUCGUCCGAAAGAAGGUUGAUGACUUUUAUUAUAGUGUAACUAGGCUUAAGAAUAAUCGUUCCAAGAGAUCAAUGAUUAUGUUCCAAACAAGGAGUGUGAAGCUUCUGUUGAAGAUGUUGCAGUAUCUUUUGCUCCUCGUGGAAUGCUUCGAUCUAAUGUGGCUGAGUGCACUCUACUGUCUACGUGCGAAGUACCAGGGAUCCGAUAAACUCAUCCUGCCGUAUUGGGUUUGUGACAAGAUUUUCAGAGGUCAAUUUGAUUCCCGUGUGAGGAAGUACUUCAUGGCAAGUGGUCCAGAUAGCAUGGAUGCACAUGAUUCGGUUGUUUUCCCCACUUUUGACCCGCCUGAGAUUCCUGCUUCCAUGGGUGGUGUUGGUCACUGGGUUUUGAUAUUUCUUGACCUGAAGAAUUUAAGAUUCUUCAUGCUUACGAAUGUUAAUUCAUAUCAUGACGGGGUUCUUGCAAAUUAUUCCCAUGAGAAUAUUGCGGAUAUCAGGAAGAUGUGGUUGUACUCAAUCGCUUCUUCUAACCUGUUUGAGACAGACUUCCAAGCUCUGUUUGGCUACUACACAUGGCAGCAGAUGGAAGGAGACAUAAUGGAUUAUCUCAUAAAUUUUUGGAAGGAUAAUCCGGAGACCUCUGAGAUAUACACUAGUGCUGACAGGGUUGUUCUUAGUCCCUACUUCAUACAGUACUGCCUGGAGUAUGGUUUCUAUGCUACAACAGUUCCAAAGUUCAAUGCAAAAAAUCUGCUGCUCUCCUCCCAAUGUUUGUUCGCAAGGAAGAAGACCUUCUUAACGCAAAGCUGAUAUCGUGGGAGCAUUGACAUCCUUGAUUCACUUUCUUAUGCUAAUAUGGAAACGUCGCGAAUGAGUUUCCACAGGGACUGCCAAAAUAUCAUCAAGAGAUUUGUUGGGUUGCUCGAGGAGGUGUACGGCAAGGCUGCGUACAAAGCGAGCAAGCAGCCUAACUGGGUGACUAUUGCAAAGAGGCCGACUUUUAUCGAUGUUCUGAAGCAGAAGAAUAAUGAUUGUGGUUUCUUUGCCGUGAAGUUCUACUCUUCAUAUGAUGGCCAUGAGAUUGUUGAAGAUUUUGGUGAUAUGGAAGCUGCUGCAGAUGACUGGAAGGCUGAGUUCAUGCACACUCUCAUGUUUAGCGAGAAGAAUGGAGUCAUUCGUUCAGAGCUCCCUAAAGAGAUCCAGUCCUUUGGCCCGUGA
rnacentral:rRNA from 1 species